UGAAAAAUACUCACCAGAUAGUUUUAUGACAGUACUUCAAAGAUGAGGCAAUGGAUAAAAAGGCAAAAGACACAAAUUAUAGUUUUGAGAGAGAAAAAAGUGGCUUAAUUAUUUAACAAUGCUCAGAUAAAUCUGAUCUGCUUUUAUUUUAAAUUAAGGGGAAAACAGAUAAUUUUAUUAGUAUCAGAAAACAGAAAUGGAACAUAGCAUAUUUAAUCAAGAUCACUGAAGAAUUACAACAGAAACUUAUGUUUUAAAGGAGUAUUUCCAAAUUUGUGCCUGCCUGUCGACACAGGAGGGAAGUGGUCUGCAGAACCUGGGGUAAUCUCUGAACUGUGAUGACUGCAGAACAUGUAUAUAGUGGGUCCCAGCCAGAUUGUGUUUGUAAGAAAAAGAAAUGUGGGGCUGGAAGGGACCUCAAGAGGUCAUCUAGUACAUCCCCCUGCACUGAGGCAGGAUGAAGGCUUUGGCUUCGGCACUGAAUAGUAAGGCUCAGGCUUCGGCCCUGGACCUCAGCAAGUCUAACACCAUCUCUGGCGAUCCCAUUAAAAUGGAGUUGUGACCAACUUUGGGGUCCCAACCCACAGUUUGAGAACCUCUGAUCUACUCUAUUUUAGUCAAUUGUUUUUCACUCCACUAAAACGGUCUUUACUUAAUUUUAACAUACAUAAUUAAGUUUUAUUUUCUCUUUUAUUAAGAAGGGGGAUUUAUUUUUCUAUUUAUUUUGGCAUUUACAUUUAUCAGUCACAAUCAUGUACAUGACUCACUAACACUUGACUCCAUCGUUACUAUUAGUAUCAGACUUGGAACCGUAUUUCUCUCUUUCAAAUGUUAAGUUAUUUUACAGAUAUAAUUAAAAAUACAAUUUGAAAAUAA